rnacentral:rRNA from 1 species
CACGAACCGGACGAACGUUAUUCGGAAUCACUGGGCUUAAAGGGUGCGUAGGCGGCCUGACAAGUUGGGUGUGAAAUCCCUCGGCUCAACCGAGGAAUUGCGCUCAAAACUGUCGGGCUUGAGGGAGUUAGAGGUGAGCGGAACUUAGGGUGGAGCGGUGAAAUGCGUUGAUAUCCUAAGGAACACCAGUGGCGAAAGUGGCUCACUGGAGCUUUUCUGACGCUGAGGCACGAAAGCUAGGGGAGCGAACGGG